AGCAGCCGCGGUAAUUCCAGCUCCAAUAGCGUAUAUUAAAGUUGUUGCAGUUAAAAAGCUCGUAGUUGAAUUUCGGGAUCAAUAUGCCGGUCAUGCCUUGGUAUGCACUGGUAUCUUUGAUUUCUCCCUUCUGACGAACUUUGAUGUCAUUAAUUUGGUGUCAUAGGGAAUCAGGACUGUUACUUUGAAAAAAUUAGAGUGUUUAAAGCAAGCUCACGCUUGAAUACAUUAGCAUGGAAUAAUGAAAUAGGACGUUUAAUUCUAUUUUGUUGGUUUCUAGGAUCGACGUAAUGAUUAAUAGGGAUAGUUGGGGGCAUUAGUAUUCAAUUGUCAGAGGUGAAAUUCUUGGAUUUAUUGAAGACUAACUACUGCGAAAGCAUUUGCCAAGGAUGUUUUCAUUAAUCAAGAACGAAAGUUAGGGGAUCGAAGACGAUCAGAUACCGUCGUAGUCUUAACCAUAAAUUAUGUCCGACUAGGGAUCGGAUGAUGUUAAUUUUUAAUGUACUCA
rnacentral:rRNA from 1 species